rnacentral:tRNA from 1 species
GGCUGGAAAGAUGGCUCAGUGGUUAAGAGCACUGACUGUUCUUCCAGAGGUCCUGAGUUCAAUUCCCAGCACCCA